AAUAUUGAAAAUUUAUUGCUAAAAUACGAGUUGUUAGUUGGUUUCCAUUAGCUAUGUGUGAUAAAGAAUUUAUUAAGGCAAAGUCUGAUAAUAUUCCUGAUGUUGAUAUAUUUAUGAUCACCGAUUUUUUAAAAAAUGACGUUCCUUUAAUUCUGCUGAAGUUCGAGGUGCCAAGGCAUCAAGAGCAUCGCGUGAGAGUUACGGCGACAAAGCUAUAGGUUAUGUUCAACUAAGUCGUAAAAAUAAUAUUUGUAUUGUAAAAGGACGGGUAUGUCCAGAACACUGAGUUUGGAGUAAAGCUUAUUCAAUUACUUUAACUAUUAAUGAAAAGUCAAAAAAAAUUCAGGAUGCUCAAUGCCAUGUCUGUGCAGCUUCAGCAGGUGGUUGCAAACAUGCAUUAGCAUUACUUAUGUGAACCCAUCGUAGAAGUGAAGAUCCGACACUAACAAAAGUCACUUGCUAUUGGAAAAAAUCUCGAUUAUCAGGUAUUGGUACAGUACAGUUAUAAAAUAUAUUGAAGCAGAAAAACUAACAAAAAAAUCCUCUACUACUCCUGUUGAAAAUUUUCCGGAUAAUAGUACAUUUUUACAAGAAGUUGUCGAAUUUGCCAAAAAUCAACAAAUAAAUUCUCAAAUUGGGCAAUUAAAUUUUGAUUUAGAAUCCAAAAAAGGUUACAAUUUAUCGUUACAUCGAUUAAUUUUGGAUUUUAAUCAAAAUAUUGAUUUGCGAGUAGGAAAAUUUUUGGAAUUCACUAAAACUGAAAUGGCAGAAGAUGUGUGUGAGGAAGCUGAACAGCUAACCAAGCAGCAAAGUGAAUGUGCAAUUUGGCAUGAACUUCGUUAUGGACGCAUUACUGCAUCAAAAUUUUAUGAAGCUGCUCAUUGUAAAAGUGAUAAUGGUUCGCUAGUUCAACAAAUCAUUGGUGCAAGUAAAGUUCAUGAGACAAGAGCUAUGACACGAGGAAAGAGUUAGAAAAAGAUGUAAUCGAAGUUCUUGAGAAAGAAUUAAGAGUAAAAAUAACGCGUUCGGGGAUCAAAACACUGUAUUUAUUAUUUUUCUAUCAACUGCAAUGAGUGAAAACUAACAUUAUGACGUCACACGCGCUCGGGUUUGUUCGGGAGUUGUCGGCAUGUCUUCGGUACUGGAUUCAAAAAUUUUUUCAAAAACCCAAUUAGCUUAAACACUUGUGUUGAUCGAUGAUAAUGAUGUAGAUCAAAUAUCAAAGAAAAUUAAAAUAAAUUUUUUCUACUAC